AACGAACGCUGGCGGCGUGCUUAACACAUGCAAGUCGAACGGUGAAAGCGGAGCUUGCUCCGCUGGAUCAGUGGCGAACGGGCGAGUAACACGUGGGCAACCUGCCCCUCACUUCGGGAUAACUCCGGGAAACCGGGGCUAAUACCGGAUAUGACCUCCUUGGGCAUCCUUGGAGGUGGAAAGUUUUUCGGUGAGGGAUGGGCCCGCGGCCUAUCAGCUUGUUGGUGAGGUAGUGGCUCACCAAGGCGACGACGGGUAGCCGGCCUGAGAGGGCGACCGGCCACGCUGGGACUGAGACACGGCCCAGACUCCUACGGGAGGCAGCAGUGGGGAAUAUUGCGCAAUGGGCGAAAGCCUGACGCAGCAACGCCGCGUGCGGGAUGACGGCCUUCGGGUUGUAAACCGCUUUCAGCAGGGAAGAAGCCGCAAGGUGACGGUACCUGCAGAAGAAGCACCGGCUAACUACGUGCCAGCAGCCGCCGUAA
rnacentral:rRNA from 1 species